CAUAAUCAUUAGUCUUUUAAUUGAAGGCUGGAAUGAAUGGUUGGAUGAAAUAUUAACUGUUUCAUUUAAAAUUAUAAUAGAAUUUUAUUUUUUAGUUAAAAAGCUAAAAUGUUAUUAAAAGACGAGAAGACCCUAUAAAUCUUUAUAAUUUAUUUUUAUUAAUUGUUUAGAUAUUUUUAUUUAUUAAAAAUUAAAUUAUUUUAUUGGGGUGAUAUUAAAAUUUAAUGAACUUUUAAAAAUUUUUAUACAUAAAUUAAUGAAUUAUUGAUCCAUUAUUAAUGAUUAAAAAUUUAAGUUACUUUAGGGAUAACAGCGUAAUUUUUUUGGGAGUUCAUAUCGAUAAA
rnacentral:rRNA from 1 species